rnacentral:lncRNA from 1 species
UAAAUAACUAAAAAUAUACUUACAAAUUGCGUUCAAAGUUCAAACACAUCACAAGUCAUUGGCAUCCUCAAAGUGUUAGUUACAUCCUUCAAAAGUUUUUGAUAUCUUUGAUCUGUUGAGUAUUUUCUUCUCCUUCAAACAAUCACCAUAAAUGGGUUUCCGUUUAAAUGUUAUUCGACGGGCAUCAUUAACUUCCAUCCAAACAACAUCAAAAUCCACGGAAGUGAGAAAGGGAUAUGUUGCAGUGUAUGUUGGAGAGAAACAGAAGCGGUUUGUGAUCCCAAUAUCAUACUUGAGCCAACCAUCAUUUCAAGAUUUAUUGAGUCAAGCCGAGGAAGAGUUUGGGUAUGACCAUCCCAUGGGUGGCCUCACCAUUCCUUGCACCGAAGAUAUGUUUCAACACAUAACUUCACGCUUGAAUGAGCUAUGAAUAUGAUAGUGUAACAUACUGACAGAUUAGAAGACAUUUUUUACAAUAGGAAUCAUUUUAACUUGUAAACAUUAUCCCUUUUAUGGGAAAUAGAGAAAUAUAUUCAUCUGAAUACAAAGAAAACAAAACAGUUACAUAUUUUUUUCUUGUUUAAUGACAAUGAGCACACUAACUUUAUCAAUUUCAUUACCCUCUCUGCAAUUUUAACAUGAUGAGAAACACGCAAGCUUCUUGCUGAAGGUGAAACGAGUCGACAUGAAUAUCCUCAUAAAUUUAACAGUAGAAACGGAUAUUAACAGUCACUGCAAAGUUAAAAUUGUUUUCCAGUACUGUGUAGCAUAAGUUUAUUUGGGACAGAUUGAAAAGAAUUGAGUUUUAUGCACAGAUUGAAAAGAAUUGAAAAAUAAAACCAUCUAGUUGGUUCCAUCACUCCAAAGUGUAGCUUCAAGGAUACAAUAUGUUUCCACUGCAGAAAUCUUAGUUUCCAAAAACACUCUAAAUUUUCUGCUUAUGAAGAACAACUCUGCUACUUAAAUGGUAGGGAUUUUGAAAAUAAUGGACGUACUAUAAAAAAUCUAUGACUUAUUCUGGAAGGUGUGUAUCUUCAUAGAUUUAAAAUUCAAAUUAGUAAAGUGUGUUCUUACAUGAAUGGAUUUGUUUAACCAUGAAUCAACAAUACAUUUUUUCAUUUGAAUCAACUCGUGAAAGAAUGCAACUCUUUAUAAAGAGUUAUUUCCCUUCAUCGAGUUGUAUGAGUUGCAAUACACUCAGAAGCAUGAUGAAAAUCAUUUGCUUAUGGUUCUAAACUCUACUAUUGAAGUAAGAUUCUAAUAGCAAAAAAAUUCUUGCACGACAAAUACUUGUGAAGAGCACGGUAAUUCCUUUAGAUUGUAUAUUCUUCAUUAAGACCCUACUUUCCAGCUGCAACAGUACUAUGCAACAUACAACUUAAACAUUAUUAGAGUGCACUUUCCCCCAAGCAAAAUGUUUAUGUGGACUAUUUUAUUUCAAGAGAGAAAUUAAUUUUUCAUUUUAUCAUCUGGAGAUUCAAAACUAAACAUUUAGCUUGUUAGACAGUUGAUUAUAUAAAUUGUUGAGGGAAACAAUUAAAGAAAUAUGGCAAUAUUCAUAAAUUUUAUCAUUCAGAUGAACUUGUAUACAAAGUUUACAAACAAGUUUGAUAACACCAAAUGAGAAUAUUUUCCAUGGUAAGAAAUUAAAUUGUUACAAAAAUUGGUCAACUAUCUACGUUAGUCUUAUCUAAGUUGUCUUCAUAAGGAAUUAGCCCAGAUUCAAACGAGAAGUAAUAUCUAAGAAAACUUCUUCUCUGCACGGAAUUGUGAGACCACCUGUUGGAUGGUCAUAUCCGAAUUGUUCCUCAGCUUGAUUCAGCAAUUCUUGAAACGAUGAUUUCUUCAAGUAUGAUAUUGGGAUCACAAACCUCUUCAUUUCCUCUCCUACAUAUACGGAAAGAUAUCCCUUUGGAACAUCCACACUUUUUGAAGAUGCAGUUCUUCUGAUGAUACUAGGUAAACGAAACCCCAUUCUUGUAUGUGAUGUGAAAAGAAGAUAUUGGUCUAAAAGUGAAGAACUUUGUGUAUAGGUCUCUGAAUUUCAAAUGCUUUGGGUUGUGAAUGAUUUUGUGUUGGUCCUAAAUGCUUACAACGACGAAUAUAUAUAUAUAGAUGAAAGGAUGUGUGACAAACAGUCGGCAACUACAAUGAUCAGUGAGGGAGGGCCAUGAGUUGUAUAGGAGCCAUAGAACCUAAGGGAGACAAGGUCAUAUAAUAGAUCACAUGAUGUUGUCUUAGAUAAUUUUCUCAAGUUUCAACGUCAAAUGUCAUGAUAAUAGAUAAUAAGUCCCACCUCCUUAAGCAGAGGCCAACAUAUAGUAGAUAAUGCAGGCUCCACCACCUUGAGCAAAGGCCAGCAAAGCAUAUCCAUAGUUAUCCAUUGCUGAUCUAUAGUUAUCCAUUGCCUUAUAAUUUAGUCAUUACCAGCUGGACAUCAACAUUAUCAUAAUGGAGAAAACAUGUCUAAAGCAUGUUUACAAAAUAAUGAAGUACAACAAUUCAAUAAUGAACAAAUAUGAAGCAGCACUUGAGCACAUCUCAUUUGGUAGCAAGUGGAAGCUUUGUAUUGGGCAAUGUUUAAGAAGGUGGGGUUACAAUCUAAGACAACACCACAUGACACCUCAUCCAUAUGCUUUCUAUCCUUUGACCCCCUUCAACAAUCGUUUCUUUUGGAGUUGAGUUUUGAGAGAACUUCAAAAACUAUAUAUACACUUCCUUUCUCCUUCAAAAAAAGUACAAGUCAUUCGCAUCCUCAAUUGUUUAGUUACAUCCUUCUAAUAUUUGAGAUUUUUAUUUUGUUCUCACAAACAAGCACGAAAAAUGGGUUUCCGUUUACACGCUAUUCUAAGGACAUCAGCUAGACAAGCAACAUCAAAAUCUGUAGAAGUGAGAAAGGGCUAUGUAGCAGUGUAUGUUGGAGAGAAACAGAAACGGUUUAUAAUCCCUGUAUCAUACUUGAACCAACCUUCAUUUCAAGACUUGUUAAGUCAAGUUGAGGAAGAGUUUGGAUAUGAUCAUCCCACGGGUAGACUCACCAUUCCUUGCACUGAAGACGUCUUCCAACAUAUAACUUCUUGCUUGAAUGGACUAUGAAUCUUACACUGUAGCAUACUGACAUAGACUAGAUUAGCUUAGACAUUUUUUAUAACAGCCAUUGUUUUUACUUGUAAAUAUUACCCUUUUCACGGGAAGCCGAGAAAAAUUCCUAUCUGCAUAACAAAUUCAAAAACUUACUGUCCUCUUUUUUCUUGUGUAAUGGCAUUGAGUGCAGUUACUUUAUCUAUUACGACUUUCACUAGUUAUAAUUAGUUCUUUAAGUUUAAGCCUGCUUAUGAAGAAUAACUCUUGGUUAUUUAAAAAAUAAAGCAUAUCACAUGCAACCAAUAUUGAAUUUAAGUUCUAUUAGAACAGAAACACUGAUUCAAAAGAAUAGAGACACGGAAAAAUGCAAACAAUGAACACACGAUUUUUAAUUACUAAGUUUGACUAAUCGUGCCUAUGUCUCUCUGGCUGCAGGCUUCAGUUCCUUUCUAUUAUUUUAAGCUUAGGCUUUACAGUGUACAACUUAUAUUUAAAUACUCGACAAGCUUUUGCCAGACCUAUGAAUCUAUGACUAAUACAGUAACUAUCAUACUCAUACAUACCACCAUUUUAGCACAGCAUAUAUAAUUUAUUUAUUUUUGGUAGAUAGACAAAAUGACAAUAGCCAUUGGAAACUCACACACACACAAUUGGAGGAGUUGGGGUCCGAACCCCGCUCACAGCUUGCGGCCUAAUAAUUUCUGCAUUUUUGCAAGUUGAGCUAGAAUUUUUGGACGCAAAGCAUGUAUAAUUUAUUAUGACUAAUUCAAAUAGAAACCAAAGACAAGAGUAUAUAUGGGGUGGUUCAUGAGCCCUAAUCUCUGUCAAAUGCUACCAAAUUAACCAUUCAAUUCCUUAAGUAAGUAACGAUCAUCAAUACAUACAGGCACAGCAGCGUAUCAUAGGGUAAAUACACACACAUCAAGCAUCAUAGUUUAACUACUUAACAGUGAUAUACAAAUUCUUUGUUGAUAUAUCAUCAUUGUAAACAAUUAUGUUGUGUGACAAAAAUGAAAGAAGAGAAAGAAUGGGGUUUUGGUUUACCUGGUGUUAGAAGAGGUAGAGAAGCAGUUCGUGAUUCCGAUUGGAUGGUUGAAUCAAAGCUUCAUUUCAAAGAAUUGUUAAGCAAAGAUGAACAAGAAUUUGGGAUUUUGGGUGUAUUCCUUACACAGAGGAUCUCCUCGGAGAAGUCUUCUUCUCAUCUUUUCUUUUUCUCUCCAUCUUCGGAUGAGUGGUGAGCUGACCAAACCGUG